rnacentral:rRNA from 1 species
UACGGAGGGGGCUAGCGUUGUUCGGAAUUACUGGGCGUAAAGAGCGUGUAGGCGGCCCGGUAAGUCCGCUGUGAAAGUCCAGGGCUCAACCCUGGAAUGCCGGUGGAAACUGUCGGGCUAGAGUCCGGAAGAGGCGAGUGGAAUUCCCGGUGUAGCGGUGAAAUGCGCAGAUAUCGGGAGGAACACCAAUGGCGAAGGCAGCUCGCUGGGACGGUACGU